GUCCACGCUGUAAACGAUGACGACUAGGUGUGGGGGGUUCGAGUCCCCUCCCGUGCCGCAGCUAACGCAUUAAGUCGUCCGCCUGGGGAGUACGGCCGCAAGGUUGAAACUCAAGGAAUUGACGGGGGCCCGCACAAGCGGUGGAGCAUGUGGUUCAAUUCGAUGCAGAGCGAAGAACCUUACCUGGGCUUGACAUGCAGGAAGUAGAAACCGGAAACGGCGACGACCUGUUAAGUCAGGAACCUGCACAGGUGGUGCAUGGCUGUCGU
rnacentral:rRNA from 1 species